GAGAACAUUGGCAAGAGUGGGGACAUGGAAGCUGUGUUCAGGCCGGUCCACGCUGGGUGACCCAUGUGACCUGCUGCUUAGCAAUUCCUUGUCACCAUCUUCCCUUCUCAGCCUCUUUUUUCAUGCUAACAGGCAUAAAUGAAAUGAUAAAAGUUUGAGCUCUUCUCGUGGAAUUCUCGUGAUACAGAUAUGUGCUACAUGUUCAUCAUCUCGUUGGUCUUCACCAUGAUAACUGUGGAGUAAGAAUUAUAAGCAGGUCACAGAUUAGGGACUUGAGAUUGACAGUUUGGCUUCCCUGUUCUGGGUGGCAAAGCCUGUGGAGUACUCACCUACCUGCUGCAUGAAGGCAGCAUGGAGGGACUGUGGUGGAUUAUCUGCAAAGAUGGCCAAAAUUCUCUCAUCCCUGCAGGCACAUACAAGGAAAUUGAAGUAUACAGAAUGCUUAUUUGGUCUACUCAGUAUCAUCCUAAAUGUAUGUACCAAUGCUUAGGAGUUUGCAGUUCACCCGCAAACCUCAGCGAUCCAAGCUCCCCUGGAUGACCAUCACUCACCAAGAAAAGAGCAAUAACAGGACCUGUUUUGCUAAUCCAGGACUGUUCUCCAGCACUAACUCUAAAUAAUCCCUUCUGCUAGAGUCCACUUUCUGGAACCUGUUGCCUCCGUUUUCAACGUUUCCCAAACUUGGUCCGUUGUGUGAGCUGGCUGAUAAAAGUUCCAGGGAGAAGACAUCUUACUCUUAUUGGAUCAUGCACAGUGCCUGAAGCAUUCUGUUGCAUGUAGAAGUCAGUAAAUUGCAGAUGUAAGAUUCAAAACCAGACUUCACAUCUACCGACUUCAGUGACCCUGAAAUUUGUUCACAGAGAGCAUUUAACAUAACUGUCUUCAUCAUCUCCUUCUCUACAUUAAAAAUUAUGGAGGCCUUACAAACUGGUAGAAGAUGCAUAACAGAAGAGCUUAUGAAGUUAAAGAUGACAGCAUAGCAGCACUGGUGAGAUCCUUUUAGACAUAACAUGGUAGGAAGGACUGUUUGACAAAGUGAAUGCCUGUCUUUCAGAAUAUACAGGGAGGUGUGAUGUACCCAUUAUCACAAGCAGAUGGAAUCCCUAUAGAGUCGGAUCUCAUCUACAUAUCACCUAUUAUAUGUAGUUAUUGAUGGAUAAAUACUUCAACAACUAAAGGCAGAAAGAGAGCAGGUGGGCAUAGGAGUUAGUAAACAUCUCACUGCUAUUGUUUUUCAAGGUGAAGCUAGAGAAGAAGAUUCCUAAGAUGUAGGAGGAAAUUAUCAUACUGAGUAAGAGGGUGCAAUUUUGGAAGGUUGGACUUGAUGACCUCUCCAGCAUUAAGGGUGAAUGAUUCUUUCUAGGGAUUUGGUUUGUUGCCAGAGAGCCUGGCUACCUGCUAUUUAGUUGCUUUGUUGAUUAGCAAAUUUCCUCUGAAAUAUUCCUCACAUUCAUGAGCCCCCUUCCUGGGGUAGGUGGACCCAGAAAAUGUUUUCUCCCAUUUUAGUUGGCCAUGUGUUUGAAACUCAGAUGGACCUAAGUCUUUCAGCAUCAUUGUCACUACUGUAUGUCUAUCCAUAAAAAGAAGGCAUAAGACUCUCUGUAGUAUCACGAAGUUAGCCAUUUGGGAUUGCAAAAACUUUCCUCUUUCCAUUGGAGAGAAAUAGUUUAGAUUAGAUGGUGGAGCCCCUACCACAUCUCCCAAAAUUUAAAUUAUAACAUGAACAGUAAUUUAGGUCUGAUUUUAAUAUUUUGUCAUUCUUAAACCUAAUAAAAGCUACAUCUUCCUAAA
ensembl:lncRNA MIR7515HG MIR7515 host gene